AUCCAGAUGAGGAGUUCCAAAUAGGACUGAAUGCGCAUCCUGGAU
rfam:Trichobilharzia regenti genome assembly, scaffold: TRE_scaffold0044277